UACGAAGGGGGCUAGCGUUGCUCGGAAUUACUGGGCGUAAAGGGCGCGUAGGCGGACAGUUUAGUCAGAGGUGAAAGCCCAGGGCUCAACCUUGGAAUUGCCUUUGAUACUGGCUGUCUUGAGUUCGGGAGAGGUGAGUGGAAUGCCGAGUGUAGAGGUGAAAUUCGUAGAUAUUCGGCGGAACACCAGUGGCGAAGGCGACUCGCUGGACAAGUAUUGACGCUGAGGUGCGAAAGCGUGGGGAGCAAACAGG
rnacentral:rRNA from 1 species